GGGGUUGUGGCUCAGAGGUUGAGCACUUGCCUAGCAUGCAUGAGGCACUGGGUUCGAUCCCUGGCACCA
rnacentral:tRNA from 1 species